rnacentral:rRNA from 1 species
UACGGGGGGAGCAAGCGUUGUUCGGAUUUACUGGGCGUAAAGGGCGCGUAGGCGGCCACCGCAAGUCGACUGUGAAAUCUCCGGGCUUAACCCGGAAAGGUCAGCCGAUACUGCGGGCUAGAGUGCAGAAGGGGCAACUGGAAUUCUCGGUGUAGCGGUGAAAUGCGUAGAUAUCGAGAGGAACACCUGCGGCGAAGGCGGGUUGCUGGGCUGACACUGACGCUGAGGCGCGAAAACUAGGGGAGCGAACGGG